CCCAGACAGCCAGGAUGUUGGCUUAGAAGCAGCCAUCAUUUAAAGAAAGCGUAAUAGCUCACUGGUCGAGUCGGCCUGCGCGGAAGAUGUAACGGGGCUAAACCAUGCACCGAAGCUGCGGCAGCGAACGUAUCACUUAAAGCGAUUCAGCGGGUUACGAUUGACGGAGCGAAGCGACGUCAAAGCGUAUACAAAGUCGAGUCGGUUUAAGGAUACGUUCGUUGGGUAGGGGAGCGUUCUGUAAGCCCGUGAAGGUGGCCUGUGAGGGUUGCUGGAGGUAUCAGAAGUGCGAAUGCUGACAUAAGUAACGAUAAAGCGGGUGAAAAGCCCGCUCGCCGGAAGACCAAGGGUUCCUGUCCAACGUUAAUCGGGGCAGGGUGAGUCGACCCCUAAGGCGAGGCCGAAAGGCGUAGUCGAUGGGAAACGGGUUAAUAUUCCCGUACUUGGUGUUACUGCGAAGGGGGGACGGAGAAGGCUAUGUUGGCCGGGCGACGGUUGUCCCGGUUUAAGCGUGUAGGUGUGUGUUCCAGGUAAAUCCGGUUCACUUUAACACUGAGGCGUGACGACGAGGCACUACGGUGCUGAAGCAACAAAUGCCCUGCUUCCAGGAAAAGCCUCUAAGCAUCAGGUAACACGAAAUCGUACCCCAAACCGACACAGGUGGUCAGGUAGAGAAUACCAAGGCGCUUGAGAGAACUCGGGUGAAGGAACUAGGCAAAAUGGUGCCGUAACUUCGGGAGAAGGCACGCUGACACGUAGGUGAAGUGAUUUACUCAUGGAGCUGAAGUCAGUCGAAGAUACCAGCUGGCUGCAACUGUUUAUUAAAAACACAGCACUGUGCAAACACGAAAGUGGACGUAUACGGUGUGACGCCUGCCCGGUGCCGGAAGGUUAAUUGAUGGGGUCAGCGCAAGCGAAGCUCCUGAUCGAAGCCCCGGUAAACGGCGGCCGUAACUAUAACGGUCCUAAGGUAGCGAAAUUCCUUGUCGGGUAAGUUCCGACCUGCACGAAUGGCGUAAUGAUGGCCAGGCUGUCUCC
rnacentral:rRNA from 1 species